rnacentral:rRNA from 1 species
CAUGGGGGAACCCUGAUGCAGCAACGCCGCGUGAAGGAAGACGGUUUUCGGAUUGUAAACUUCUGUUCUUAGUGAAGAAUAAUGACGGUAGCUAAGGAGCAAGCCACGGCUAACUACGUGCCAGCAGCCGCGGUAAUACGUAGGGGGCAAGCGUUAUCCGGAUUUACUGGGUGUAAAGGGAGCGUAGACGGACUGGCAAGUCUGAUGUGAAAGGCGGGGGCUCAACCCCUGGACUGCAUUUGAAACUGUAGAGCUUGAGUGAAGUAGAGGCAGGCGGAAUUCCCCGUGUAGCGGUGAAAUGCGUAGAGAUGGGGAGGAACACCAGUGGCGAAGGCGGCCUGCUGGGCUUUAACUGACGCUGAGGCACGAAAGCGUGGGUAGCAAACAGGAUUAGAUACCCUGGUAGUCCAAGGGCGAAUUC